CACAAAUGUUAUGUUUCUCAAUUCCAAUUCGCACACCGUUUCACAGACUCAUAACUGGUCUCACACCGUCGUCCGCCACCUUCUAAGCGGCGCGUCUACCACCACUCUCUCGAUCUUUAUCCAUCUCCGCCGCCCACCGCGCAGAGGAUCAUCGACCUCGUCGCCUUCGCUCAUCCCGCCUUCCUCCGCGCACAGGACUGUCGACCCCGCGGGGAGUUUGAUGCAGUGUGACUAGGGCUCACAAGUUCAAGUAAUGAAAUUAGUCUCUUGCAAAUACAAGUAAAACAGAAGUAAACUUGAAGAGGUUGCUUGCGGCUGCUCCUCAGCAGAAAAAUCAGGCAAAACUUGUACAUUAUGUUGCUACGUUGCGUGAACAGUUGGAACAAUUGGCUGAAGAGAAGACACUAGAAGGCUUACCAAGGAUUUGCAAGGCUAUAUUGAAUGAUUAUUCAGAGAAGAUUGAAGCCAUUGCUGGCAAAUUAGUUAACAGUGAGCCUGACAUACAAGUACCUAAGGAAUCAGAAAGAAAUCUUGUUAAAGAAAACCCUUCUGACAUUGAGUUUAAAAGGCAGAUUUCCCUUUCUUCUGGAUUGAGAAGAAGGCAUGGGUAAGCUAUAGUUAGCCUUCCUUAUUUUGAAUGUAUUUUUGUGGGAUGCUUUAGUGUUACUUAUCUGAUUCACUGGACAGUGGAGUUUGAAUAAGCAUUUGUUGAUGAAGGGAAGAGAGUGGGGUUGGUGGAGGUUGGAGAGGGAUGAGAGUAGCAGAGCGAAGAUGCCAUUGACGUCGGAGAGUUGAACGUGAAGGUAAGGGUCGCCGGAGGAGGGUUUCCGUUUCCGCUUACCGCCGCCGGCAUGCUUCUUCUCCAUUCUGAUGAACGCGCGCUUGGCUUAAUUUUCUUUUGGUUACAUAGGACAAGCCAAGUUUAAUUAUAAAAGCAUCACCUUUUUUAUUACACUUUUUAUUUUUAAAACUCUUAUAAAAAUAGUAAACAAAAAUGACACCAGUAGUUUUUAUUCUUUAGUAAGUGUAUUGAUAAUAGUUAUUCUUUGGAAAAAAAAUUACAGUUAUCCCUUCCUUGUUAGAACCUAAUGGACAAACAUGGAUAAUAAUUGACAAUAAGAUCUACCACAACUGGUAGAUAGUUUGACUCUCAUUUAGUUUAAGAGUCGAUCAAUGAGCAGUGUGUAUGAAUAAUAAUUGGUUUAGAGAGGUUUACCUACUUAAUGUGAUCUUAAAGCCUUGAUAGAAUUAGUCUCAUAUGCUAUGAAAUAGCCGGAAAAAAAAAACAUUGAUAAUAAUUAUUGUGUUUUGAAGUUCACUAUUAGUUGAGAAAUAUAAUGUGAUUGAGAUUGUUGUCAUGCCUCAACAUCUAAAUCUUUGUUUGUUCACAAGCUAACAUCUAAGCUAACAUCUAUUUAGAUGUUGUUUGUCAAAAUUUAAAUCUAAAUGCAAGUAAACAUUUUUUAGAAGCAAGAAAAUAUAGCAUUUUAACAUAAUUCUAUAGUUAGAAAUGCAUAGUAAAGAUAAACUACGUACAAAGGAGCCAAUAUACAAUUUACAAUUGGAAAGAAACACAAAAACAAAUGAAAUCUAAAUAAACUUUUGGAGCAUAGUCCUCCUAACUCUGGUCCUAAGUCCCAACAAGUGUAGUUACAUUGUGAUUUUCUACCUAAUCCUAAGUCCCAGUUUCUUAAAUGAUCCAAAAGACACUGAAACCCUCUUCACACUUCUUUACUUAUAGGCUAAGCCCCUACUAACUAAUUCUCCAUUCUCCAAGUACCUAUAUAUUAGUAUGACCACAAAAGGAUCUUGCUAACCAAUCUUGAUGAGGAAGAAUUGAAGAUCUUAUACAAUGAUUAAUGUUACUAUCUGCACAUGCAUCCCACAUAGUAACAGAAUCAAACACUUAUAUUACUCAUAAUCCAUUACAGCCUGUGAUCACAAGGGGAAAGAAGGGUUGGAUGGUCAUAAGAUAAGUGACAUUACGGAGCAAAGUAAACUAUCAAAAUCCAGUAAUAGAAACAAUAAAAAGAUUUAAGAGUAGGAAAAUUGAUUCUGCUAAACAGAAUGAAAUCUCAGCAGCUGUAAUUCGCAUAUACUUUUUUUAAUCAAAUCAACUGCAUGCAAUAUAAAUAUGCGUAUAAUUGUCACAGACAAAACAAAAGGGCCAUAGAAAUAAUAAAAACCUAUACAUAAGGCAACUAGCUAUACAGGAGGUAUGUUAGAGAAAAAGAAGCCUUGGUAUCCUUUGUAAGCAUAAUAUGCAAUCCGCGUAUAGUAGAAACCCGGUAUGAACAACAUCAUUCCCAGUAUUGCAAAGAACAGACCUAUCCAUCAUUCAAUAAACAAAAAACAGAACAAUUAAAUCCUCUGGUUUAGUACGUACAUAGUUGCUAAUUUUGUAUCCAUUAUUUGGAAAUUAAUUACCAUGAGCAUUGUCGCCGCCGACGUGGUUGUAGGCCAUGAGGGAACCGAUUAUGAUGCCAAGGAUUCCGAAGAAGAGAAGAGCAACGACGAGAGCGAUCUCCUUAAUAGGUGCAUUGUCGCUGGUCGUGUACGAUGACUCCACCAUGAUGUCCUCAUCUCUGAUCGAGAAUGCGUGAUCUACGUACAUCUUUAAUGAUUAAUUCCAUUGGAUUUCGUUGUGUCUUCUCCAGAUUGAUCAGUUCAAGAUCGAUGCAGAUUCAGCUGACUGAAGAUUUCGAUGAAUCAGUGAUGAAAUCAAGGUUAGAACUGAGCUGUGUGUGUGUGUCGAUUUGAUAUCCUUUGUUUUGUUUUCAUGUCCCACGUACGCUCCAAAAUAAAAAUGCGAUUGGAUGGAUUCUAGAGGGGAAAUAUUAGCUACUUGAAUAAUUAAUUAAAGUAGGUGUAACAUCUUGAUUUAUUUAAUUUUGAUGAAAAUAUAUAUGAGUAAGAUUGAACACAUAAGUAUUUGCGUUUUCUAUCACAAAAACAAAACAAAAAAACCUCCCCAGAAAAAAAAAUAUAUCCAAUAAAAAAACUAUCAUAUCACUUAUUUAUUUAUUUUCUCUUAUCCCACUUUUGGUAUAAUGUAGGUAAAUGUUGGUAAAUCCGCAAGUGUACGAAUCCACCCGGUUUUAAAUAUCGAACCACAGGGAUUGUGAGUGAAUGAAUUCGGUUCAAGCCUUGAGUAUGAAGGUUUGUAUUAUUGAAUAAGAGAUAUGUUGAAGUAGUAAUAAGGAAAAGGAAAAAUAAAAAGACAAUUCAGAAAAUAAUAUGCUUUGGGUUCUUGUCCAACUAGUCAAUUCAAGUACAUCAUUCUAAGCACAUGUUCUCAUGGAUCUCUCCUUGAUGAUAUAGCCUAGUUACUCACUUAUUGAUUCCUCACAUAAGCAAUUCUCUCAUACUAACAGCUAAGCCCAAUUCCUUGUGUACUUAGUCAUUUAUAUGAGGUUUUAGAUCAUGUAAAUUCAGGCCAACAAACCCCAACCCUUCCUCUAUUCCUAGUAGCAAGCAAAGAAGGGGUAAUCCCACAACAAGUCCCUAAUCUAUAACAAACUUCCGUUCUAUUAUAGAAAAGCAUAAAGCUAGCACAUGUUCUAACUUGAAACAUAAAGCAUGGAUAUGGGAUUCAAGGAAAGAAGAAGAACAUGUGGGAAAGAACUUAAGAUUAUAACUUAAAAGGAAAAGUCUUACAAGAAAACCAAAGUAAAAGAAGAGAGAUUAGCCAAGCAUGGCAAGAGCCAUGCUUGGCUAAGAACCUUGAACACAAGCUUGGAAGCCCUCUCUCACUCUCUUAGAUGAUCCUCUACCUCUGAAUUUUACAAAGUAUCAAAAGAUUUCAAAAGAAAAUGACUAAAAUCCUAUUUAUAGGCAAAAUAAACGAGGCUGGGCUGUUCUGGGUGCUCAGGCGCCAAUUCAGAGCGCCUGAGCGCCAAUUCCAUUCUGAAAUAUGGCCUCUGGAAGGUAAUUGGCGCCUAGGCGCCCAUUCCCAGCACCUAGGCGCUUAAGCUCGCCUAAAAAGGACUUUUUGGCUUCUGAAACUCCUCUUUUCAAUCCUCUUUAAGUUCUCCAUCAAUUCCAUGCUUCUUGGCCUUCUUUCUCCUUCAGUUUCUGCUCUCCAAACCUAACCAACAAGUCAAGGAAGAUUCUAGAAGCUCCAAGAGCUCAU